UACGGAGGGAGCUAGCGUUGUUCGGAAUUACUGGGCGUAAAGCGCACGUAGGCGGCGACUCAAGUCAGAGGUGAAAGCCCGGGGCUCAACCCCCGGAACUGCCUUUGAAACUAGGUUGCUAGAAUCUUGGAGAGGUCAGUGGAAUUCCGAGUGUAGAGGUGAAAUUCGUAGAUAUUCGGAAGAACACCAGUGGCGAAGGCGACUGACUGGACAAGUAUUGACGCUGAGGUGCGAAAGCGUGGGUAGCAAACAGG
rnacentral:rRNA from 1 species